UGGGGAAUUUUGGACAAUGGGCGAAAGCCUGAUCCAGCAAUGCCGCGUGUGUGAAGAAGGCCUUCGGGUUUUAAAGCACUUUUGUCCGGAAAGAAAUGGCUCUGGUUAAUACCUGGGGUCGAUGACGGUACCGGAAGAAUAAGGACCGGCUAACUACGUGCCAGCAGCCGCGGUAAUACGUAGGGUCCAAGCGUUAAUCGGAAUUACUGGGCGUAAAGCGUGCGCAGGCGGUUGUGCAAGACCGAUGUGAAAUCCCCGAGCUUAACUUGGGAAUUGCAUUGGUGACUGCACGGCUAGAGUGUGUCAGAGGAGGGUAGAAUUCCACGUGUAGCAGUGAAAUGCGUAGAGAUGUGGAGGAAUACCGAUGGCGAAGGCAGCCCCCUGGGAUAACACUGACGCUCAUGCACGAAAGCGUAGGGAGCAAACAGG
rnacentral:rRNA from 1 species